GACGAACGCUGGCGGCGUGCUUAACACAUGCAAGUCGAACGAAGAGCGAUGGAAGCUUGCUUCUAUCAAUCUUAGUGGCGCACGGGUGAGUAACGCGUAAUCAACCUGCCCUUCAGAGGGGGACAACAGUUGGAAACGACUGCUAAUACCGCAUACGAUCUAACCUCGGCAUCGAGGAAAGAUGAAAGGUGGCCUCUAUGUAUAAGCUAUCACUGAAGGAGGGGAUUGCGUCUGAUUAGCUAGUUGGAGGGGUAACGGCCCACCAAGGCGAUGAUCAGUAGCCGGUCUGAGAGGAUGAACGGCCACAUUGGGACUGAGACACGGCCCAGACUCCUACGGGAGGCAGCAGUGGGGAAUCUUCCGCAAUGGACGAAAGUCUGACGGAGCAACGCCGCGUGAGUGAUGACGGCCUUCGGGUUGUAAAGCUCUGUUAAUCGGGACGAAAGGCCUUCUUGCGAAUAGUGAGAAGGAUUGACGGUACCGGAAGAGAAAGCCACGGCUAACUACGUG
rnacentral:rRNA from 1 species